UCACAAAGUCAGCUCACUUGUCUGUUGCAAAGGAAGACCUCAUCCAGGAGGUGGCAACGGCAGAUGCAAAGAGAGCUGCCAGUUCAGAGCCAGAGGAAACAGAGGCUGCAGCAGAGCCAGUGAGCAAGACAUCACGGCACGAAGAAGCAUGUAGCAGCCAAGACAGCGCCUUUGAGGAGAUCCUACAAGAAAGGCAGUCACAGGCUCGGUCUGUGAGUACCUCAUCUGCAGAAGCUCAGGUACAGACCUACCUAUCAGAGCAAACCAUUCCCAAGAAAAGUGAUCCACUUCAAUACUGGAAAGAACAUGUUAAUCAAUUUCCCGCCAUGGCUGCAGUUGCAAGCCAGUAUCUCUGUGCCCCCUGCAGCUCUGUGGACAGUGAGAGACUUUUUAGCGCUGUUGCAAACAUCCUAGAUGAAAACAGGAAUAGGUUCAAACCUGACAAGGUGGAAAUGUUGGUUUUCAUCAAGAAAAACAUACAUGUCCUUCAGUGAAACUCUAGACAAAUAUGUGCCAUUCAUAAGAGCACAUUACUACUACUGGCCUUACAGUAUUAUAAAGUAGCUCUUUGUUAACUUUGUUCCCUAUUGUUUACAUGCCUUUGAGUUGAGCUGACCUGCUGUUUAUUUUAUAGAAGUCUAUUAUUUAUUUAUUUUUGCUGUUGUACCUAAGCCAAAAGGGAAAUUUAUUAUUUAUUUUUACUUUUGUACCUAAGCUAAAAGGGAAAUUUAUUUAUUUUCUGAUUGUUAUUUUUAGUCACAGAAAUGUACUGUUCUAAGUGUUGUUUUGAAUUGACGUUAAGAAAAUAAAAAAGGAAAACUUUUCGUAAGUUUUUUGUUAUUUUUUUUAAUAGAUAAUAUACAUAUUUUACUAUAUUAGAAAAGAAUCGGAUCGGGACUCGGAAUCGGCAGAUACUCAAAAUGAUAGGACUCGGACUCGGACUCGGUGGCAAAUAAACCUGAUCGGGACAUCCCUAUACUGCAGUAAACCUGUAUUCUCUCCAUCAUGUCAGUAAAUGGGCCUGUACAGUGGGGUAGUGGUUAGCACUGUCGCCUUGCAGCAAGAAGAUCCCCGGUUCAAAUCCCGGCCUGGUCCUGGGAUCUUUCUGCAUGGAGUUUGCAUGUUCUCCCUGUACAUGCGUGGGUUUUCUCCGGGUACUCCGGCUUCCUCCCACAGUCCAAAAACAUGCUGAGGUUAAUUGGUUACUCUAAAUUGUCUGUAGGUGUGAAUGUGAGUGUGAUUGUGUGUCUGUAUAUGUAGCCCUGUGACAGACUGGUGACCUGUCCAGGGUGUCCCCUGCCUUCACCCGAGUCAGCUGGGAUAGACUCCAGCACCCCCCAUGACCCUAGUGAGGAUAAAGUGGUGUAUAGAGGAUGGAUGGAUGGAUGGAUGUCAGUAAAUGUCAAUCGGCUGUAGUUCCUGGUCUCCUGUAGAAACCAGAGGAGACUCCAUGUUAAAGCAGAGAGCAUUGUGGGAGUUUAGCAGCAGCGGGCACCAUGACAAAGACUCCUGAGGAGGAACUGUCAUGUUGUUUACAUGUUUGACGUCGGUCUAGAUGUCACUGAAUUGAGAUUUAACAAUAACAGAUACUGAAUAUUAGUGAUGAAAUGUUUAUUUUUGCUUUAAUCUGGUUUUAGUUGUUUAAUAUUUAGAAUCUGCUGAUGCCUUUCUCCAUGAUUAAACACGUUUAAAGAAUUGUAGAUCAGCUGCAGUACCUCCAUGUCCCACCAGGUGGAGCCUCUUCCUGUUUUGCUGUAAUAACCAUGGUGGGAGGCCACCUCAGAGAGCAUUAUGGGAGUUUAUCUGGCAGAGGGGAACCAUGAUGAUCCCUUCUAGAAGCCUUGAUGACCUCCUGCCUUCAUUCCAGCAGCUCAUGGAUCAGUCUGCAGCAGAGCUUCUAUUAAUAUUCAUCAGUUAUUGAUUCAUGCUGCUGGACUUAUUCAGUAACUUACUGAAACCUAUGACAUCUAUGUGACAGUGAAUAUAAAUGAAGGACUGAUCCUGAAUAUGAAAUGAUCAGGACGUGUCUACCUGGAGGUGGAUGUUGCACACUUAACUGAGGACAUAAGUCGAUGGCUGAAUCCCAAACCCCCCCUCCACACUCCCCCUCCACUACCGAGUGUCACUCCAAAAGAAGUCACACUCGCAGCUGUGGAGGGCACCUAUUAUUGAAGGGGGAGGGUAUAAAUACGAUCGUCAGGAAUGGGACGCCCUGUCGCCUCACCGGAAAACGGAAGACGUCAUCGCCAUGGUAACACAAAGACGCCUACUGUCAUGGCUGUAGCGCUGUGGCACAGGUUGCAACUAACAAGGAUCGCUGCUGCUUCCAGAAGACGAAAGCAUCCCACUUUUUUUCACUCACAUGUUUUCCAAUCCUAUUAUCUGGCAUUUCAAAUCCAACAAAUGAAUGAAUGAAUUCUGUCAGUUGUGUUCAAAUUUUAAGGUGUCAGGGGGUGCACAAUUAAAUCAAACGUCAGCAGAAAAGAAGAUUUAUUUCUUUUGUUUUAUAUUUUUACACCACUCUUUGUGAUGUUCUGUCAGUGUGAAAAAGGCGUGGGAGAAAUAAUGGACGCAUGUGGAACUUAUAUCAAUAUGUUGUUUCCUCCUCCAUUUCGACGUUGCACUUCCUGAAAAAGUUGUCCAGAGUGAGCAUCGAUGCAGACUCGCUAUUUAAGGGCUGAACAGUCCACUCCCCCUCCGCACUAUGCGGUUUGGGACGGCCCUUAAUAUGGAGGACCCUCCACGGGAACGCGCAAACGGAGGGGUAGUGUGUAGGGGGCGGUUUGGGAUUCAGCCAGUGUGUCUUUUGAUGGGUUUAUUUUCUGUAAACAACAACACAAAACAUAAAUACUGUGCUGCGGUUCUGGGCCGUCUGUCUGCUGUUUCAUGGUGCAGCAGAACCUGCUUAUUCUACACCGCAGCGGCCUGAGGUUCCCUUGAGAGCAACUCCCUCUUGUGGCGGGCUGUAUGAAUUACAUCUAAAGCAAAUCUAACUGUGUGGCUCAGAAAUAAUGUACAUCAGGAGAAAAGACAAGAAAAUAAAAAAAGGAAACUGAAGAUGAAUAGCAUAAUAUUACUACAAAUUAAUACAUUUUGAAAGGGUGGCCUAUUUUACAUUAGUAUUUUCAUAUCCCCACAUGGAGAAGAAGACCAAUCAAACAUCUGGUGGUGUUAACCAGCUGUUUGCUUUCCAUUUCCUGUCCAGAGGUGAUGACAUCCAACGGUUUCUGUCUGCCCAACAGCGAGACCAUCCUGUUUGACUUCACCUCGCCCACACAGGAAGUCCCAACCCGAUCAGACGACUCCACAGGCCGAAGGGAGGAUGGGCCAACUGAUGAAGAGGCGGAGCUUCAGAUGCAAUGCGGCCCCGCCCCCCUGACGCAUCACCUGCUGCUCACCUGGAUGCAGGAGACGGACAUCCUGGACUGACACCGUCGAGGACGGUCGUCAUGGUGACACUCGAUCAUCGAUUGAUCAGUGGAUGACUGAUGGACUCCUGGUGCAUUGUGGGAGAUUAAACUGGUCUCUGUGUGGACAAGUCCGUUUCUGCUGCUCCACAUCUGUCUAACAUCUGUCUAUUAUCUGUCCAACUCUGAACACAGUCCAUCAUUGGUUCAUUAUUAUAAUCAGUGGAUCUUUGUGUUGAACUGAUAAAACAUAGAAAAUAAAACUCCAUAUUAAGCACUGUUA